CCGAAACCAUUACCCCUUCUUCUUUAACCCUUACACUUUAACCUUUCUUCUUAACCUAUACAAGACUCAAAGAGAGACACGACCAAGUCCGGAUCGCCGGCCCACCCCUUCAAAAAUUCCAUGACCUCUUUCUCUAAACUUACCCACACCUAAUCUGUCGCCCACCCCAUGGGAGAACCUUGAGAUUUUUCAUUCACUCACAUAUAAGCGCACAUACACGCACAGUAAGGGAAAUCAGAGGAAAGGGAUUUGUGGGUUUUGUUUGUUUUGAUUUCCAACUUUUCCAUUUUCGGAUUUUUUGAGUUCUUCGCUGAAAAUUAGUUUUCAAAGACGGAGUUUGAUUGAGAUCGAGGUCUUUUCGAUCCCGUGUUCUGUUCGUAGCUCAAGGAUUUGGGAGGUAACAUUUCAGAUUUCAUUUGGCAAAAUAUAUUUGAGUUCCAAGUCGAGGUCACCGGUUAGUUUCUGCCAUUAAUUUAAUCAAAACAGAAGUGAAAUCUUGGCUUUACUUUGAGGUUCCAUCUUUUGCUACUUUUCUAUUCCCUUUCUGGUAAUGUUGUUUGUUUACCUCUUAUGUUUUCCUGCCUAGUACGAGAACUUUUUAUAUUUACCAUGAUAGAUGUGCAUAAUUACUUGUCCUUUGAUUGUUAAUUUGGUAUAUUGAAGUAGCAAAGUCAGUUGUUGGGAUUGACUAAAGAAAGUUAUUUGACGGAGUUGAUUUAAGAAAACUUGUGUGAUUGGUGUUGAGUCCGUUACAAAUUAGGUGAGAAACAAAUGGGUUAUGGGAGUUGGCUUUAAUAAAGUGAAGGAAAUUGGCCUUAAAUGAUCUUGAUGCUUUUAUUCUACUCAUUUAUUAAUUAAACGCUAGUAGCAUGUUUUAGGCCGAUCACAUUCGGGUAGGCAAACUUUAGGCUUUCUUCCUUUCAUUUGAGGUAAGAGGUCAUCCAUUAGUUCAUUUAUUCGGGGAAUGCCCCGAAGGAUUUGUAUAUAGUUUAUUCCGGGGAAUGCCCCGAAGAACUUUGUAAAUAUUUAGUAUUUAUGAUUUUGCUUUACGCUUUUCUUUUA